GGGCGUUUGGAUAAUUUGACUUUUAAUCAAGUUGUCCGGGGUUCGAAUCCCCGCACGCUCA
rnacentral:tRNA from 1 species